GAUGAAGAACGUAGCGAAAUGCGAUAAGUAAUGUGAAUUGCAGAAUUCAGUGAAUCAUCGAAUCUUUGAACGCACAUUGCGCCCGCCAGUAUUCUGGCGGGCAUGCCUGUUCGAGCGUCAUUUCAACCAUCAAGCCCCCGGCUUGUGUUGGGGACCUGCGGCUGCCGCAGGCCCUGAAAUGCAGUGGCGGGCUCGCUGUCACUCCGAGCGUAGUAGUUACAUCUCGCUCUGGGCGUGCUGCGGGUUCCGGCCGUUAAAAGCCUUAUUUACCCAAGGUUGACCUCGGAUCAGGUAGGAAGACCCGCUGAACUUAAGCAUAUCAUAAGCGGAGGA
rnacentral:misc_RNA from 1 species